ensembl:snRNA U6 U6 spliceosomal RNA
GUGUUCACUUUGGGAGCACACACACCAAUGUGGGAACGAUACAGAGAGGAUUAGCAUGGCUCCUGCACAAGGAUGACAUGCAAAGUUGUGGAGUGUUCCACAUUUAA